CUUGACGAUCAUAGAGCGUUGGAACCACCUGAUCCCUUCCCGAACUCAGUAGUGAAACGACGCAUCGCCGAUGGUAGUGUGGGGUCUCCCCA
rnacentral:rRNA from 1 species